UGGGGAAUAUUGCGCAAUGGGCGAAAGCCUGACGCAGCAACGCCGCGUGAGUGAUGAAGGCCUUCGGGUAGUAAAGCUCUGUCGGAGGGAACGAAUGCUCUUGAGGUUAACAGCCUCGGGAGGUGACGGUACCCUCAAAGGAAGCACCGACUAACUCUGUGCCAGCAGCCGCGGUAAUACAGAGGGUGCAAGCGUUGUUCGGAAUCAUUGGGCGUAAAGGGCGUGUAGGCGGCUUUGUAAGUCACUUGUGAAAUCUCCGGGCUUAACUCGGAACGGCCAAGUGAUACUGCAAAGCUAGAGUGCAGAAGGGGCAAUCGGAAUUCUUGGUGUAGCGGUGAAAUGCGUAGAUAUCAAGAGGAACACCUGAGGUGAAGACGGGUUGCUGGGCUGACACUGACGCUGAGGCGCGAAAGCCAGGGGAGCAAACGGGAUUAGAUACCCAAGUAGUCCCUGAGCGGGCUGGCAAGGCGCAU
rnacentral:rRNA from 1 species